UAGGGAAUCUUCGGCAAUGGGGGGAACCCUGACCGAGCAACGCCGCGUGAGUGAAGAAGGUUUUCGGAUCGUAAAGCUCUGUUGUUAAGGAAGAACGAGUGUGAGAAUGGAAAGUUCAUACUGUGACGGUACUUAACCAGAAAGGGACGGCUAACUACGUGCCAGCAGCCGCGGUAAUACGUAGGUCCCGAGCGUUGUCCGGAUUUAUUGGGCGUAAAGCGAGCGCAGGCGGUUAGAUAAGUCUGAAGUUAAAGGCAGUGGCUCAACCGGGGAGGGUCAUUGGAAACUGGUUGACUUGAGUGCAGAAGAGGAGAGUGGAAUUCCAUGUGUAGCGGUGAAAUGCGUAGAUAUAUGGAGGAACACCAGUGGCGAAGGCGACUCUCUGGUCUGUAACUGACGCUGAGGUUCGAAAGCGUGGGUAGCAAACAGG
rnacentral:rRNA from 1 species